CCUACGGGGGGCAGCAGUGGGGAAUAUUGCACAAUGGGGGAAACCCUGAUGCAGCGACGCCGCGUGAGUGAAGAAGUGAUUCGUCACGUAAAGCUCUAUCAGCAGGAAAGAAAAUGACGGUACCUGACUAAGAAGCCCCGGCUAACUACGUGCCAGCAGCCGCGGUAAUACGUAGGGGGCAAGCGUUAUCCGGAUUUACUGGGUGUAAAGGGAGCGUAGACGGCAGGGCAAGUCUGAAGUGAAAGCCCGGGGCCCAACCCCGGGACUGCUUUGGAAACUGUCCGGCUGGAGUGCAGGAGGGGUGGGCGGAAUUCCUAGUGUAGCGGUGAAAUGCGUAGAUAUUAGGAGGAACACCGGCGGCGAAGGCGGCCCACUGGACUGUAACUGACGUUGAGGCUCGAAAGCGUGGGGAGCAAACAGGAUUAGAUACCCCAGUAGU
rnacentral:rRNA from 1 species